AAGGAGCACCACGAAAAGCACUUCAAUUGGUGAAGUGCGAGCCGUGAGGGGUUCUCGUCUGUAGUGGACGAAAGCCGGGUGCACGACAGCAAAUGAUUGCCAGACACACUAUUGGGCCCUGAGACAACACUCGGUCGAACCGUGUGGAGUCCCUCCAUCUUGGUGGUGGGGUGUGGUGUUUGAGUAUUGGAUAGUGGUUGCGAGCAUCUAGAUGAACGCGUGGUCUUCAUGGCCGGCGUGUUCAUCGAAAUGUGUAAUUUCUUCUUUGGUUUUUGUGUGU
rnacentral:misc_RNA from 1 species